GAUGAACGCUAGCGGCGGGCCUAACACAUGCAAGUCAGGGGUAACAUAGAAAAGCUUGCUUUUCUGAUGACGACCGGCGCACGGGUGCGUAACGCGUAUACAACCUACCUUUUAGCGGGGAAUAGCCCAGGGAAACUUGGAUUAAUGCCCCAUAGUAUAUAGACUUCUCCUGAAGUUUAUAUUAAACAUUUAUGGCUAUUAGAUGGGUAUGCGUCCUAUUAGUUAGUUGGUAAGGUAACGGCUUACCAAGGCAGCGAUAGGUAGGGGUCCUGAGAGGGAGAUCCCCACACUGGUACUGAGACACGGACCAGACUCCUACGGGAGGCAGCAGUGAGGAAUAUUGGACAAUGGGCGAGAGCCUGAUCCAGCCAUGCCGCGUGCAGGAAGACUGCCCUAUGGGUUGUAAACUGCUUUUACAGAGGAAGAACCACCCCCACGUGUGGGGGUUUGACGGUACUCUGCGAAUAAGGAUCGGCUAACUCCGUG
rnacentral:rRNA from 1 species